rnacentral:tRNA from 1 species
GUGGCCUUGGCUUAACUGGUUAAAGCGCCUGUCUGUGGAACAGGAUAAAUGGGUUCAACUCCCAUAGGUCACCCCA